GAGUUUGAUCCUGGCUCAGGACGAACGCUGGCGGCGGGCUUAACACAUGCAAGUCGAAGGAGAACCUUACUUUCGGGUGAGGGGAGACUGGCGCACGGGUGAGUAACGCGUAGGCAAUCUGCCCAUAGCAGGGGGAUAACAUCGGGAAACCGGUGCUAAUACCGCAUAAUGCAGCGGGGCCGCAUGGCCACAGUUGUUAAAGGUUUCGACCGGCUAUGGAUGAGCCUGCGUGCCAUUAGUUAGUUGGUAGGGUAAUGGCCUACCAAGGCGAUGAUGGCUAGGGGGUCUGAGAGGAUGAUCCCCCACACUGGAACUGAGACACGGUCCAGACUCCUACGGGAGGCAGCAGUGAGGAAUCUUGCGCAAUGGAGGAAACUCUGACGCAGCCACGCCGCGUGCCGGAAGACGGCCCUAUGGGUUGUAAACGGCUUUUGUUCGGGAAGAAAGUACGGGUUUUGAUCUGUAUUGACGGUACCGAUUGAAUAAGCACCGGCUAACUCCGUGCCAGCAGCCGCGGUAAUACGGAGGGUGCAAGCGUUGUCCGGAAUCAUUGGGUGCAAAGGGUGCGUAGGCUGGUGUCUAAGUCUGGGGUGAAAUUUUGCCGCUUAAGGUAACAUGGCCUUGGAUACUGGAUGCCUUGAAUCUGACAGAGGUCGGUGGAAUUCGUAGUGUAGCGGUGAAAUGCAUAGAUAUUACGAAGAACACCAGUGGCGAAGGCGGCCGGCUGGGUCAGUAUUGACGCUGAGGCACGAGAGCGUGGGGAGCGAACAGGAUUAGAUACCCUGGUAGUCCACGCUGUAAACGAUGUAUGCUAGUUGUUGGGCCUUUGGGUUCAGUGACGCAGUUAACGCAGUAAGCAUACCACCUGGGGAGUACGUUCGCAAGAAUGAAACUCAAAGGAAUUGACGGGGGCCCGCACAAGCGGUGGAGCAUGUGGCUUAAUUCGAUG
rnacentral:rRNA from 1 species